CUGUGGCAGACCUUCCCAGUGGGUGGAAGGGAACCAGACGCCCUACCCCCACUCUUGGGAACCUGUGAUGAUGGGGCAAGUAAGCUCCGGGGUGGAGAGUAGAUCUACUUCACAGCCUUGGAUUUAUUUGAAAACUGGAAAUCACGGUGCUGAUGUAACCAGGGGAACGCAUCCAGUGUCCCAGGGGCUGGCCUCUCAUCCGUGAGUCUACACAACCAACUAAAGAUGUAAACUCCUUGAAGAAACUGGAAUAGAUCAGGACUCCUGUCUCCAGUCCCACACUGCCCUCACUGGAUUUUGUAUGAGAAAUCAGCUCUCCUGGGUCAUCGAGGAACACCAAGUCUCCCUCUUCCAUCAUGUGACUCUGAAGAAUCCAUUAUUGUCCCUUAAACCAAGAAGCCCCAGAGUAUCCAAAUGUCAAGAGUGGAACAAAACAGAAGCAAUAAUCUGGGGGUGGAGGCCCAGUCCCAGCUCCAACUUAAGUGAAAGGAGAAUGGAAAAGUUAUGAUGGUGUCCAGCUUGGAAACUACAAGUGGAAAAGCUCUGCAAGCUGAUGAUAAGAGUCAACAAAG
rnacentral:lncRNA from 1 species